ACUGAUUAACUGAAACAUUCGUUUACUUAAGUCCAGUUAAACAAAGUACAGCAUUGUGGUGCUGGGUGUCAGCCAGGGGAGAAGGCAAAGAAAGCAGUUAAUCAACCUAGAUAUAGCAGCAUGAGUGCAGCAUAUUGACAACAUAUCAGAUGCAUCACAGAAAGCCAAGGAGAGAUGUUUUCUAAUGGUUGUAGUUUGGAAAUACUGACAAAAAUCCCAGCGUCCAUUCUCUGCCUUUAGUAAGGCAAAAUGCCUAUACUGACUCCAAAGGGAGUUUUGCCUGACAAGUGACAGCGCAGAGGACUGUUGGAUUUGACCUAUUAAACUAAGGUUUCCAAUAUUCAAUUUAGUUCAAUAAAGUUGAUUUUUAAUGGGAAUAUAUAGGCCAAUGGUUAGUAUCUAUGGCCUAAAAUGUUUCUCCAGCUCCCUGAUGUUAAAUAACCCACCUUGUUAUAGUGUGUAAGGGAAUUGCAUACCUAGAUGUUCCUGUUUUAAAGAAAGAGUCUUCAAAUUUUUUGUGAACAAAUAAAUUCUUUCAGAAUAAAAUUGUAGUGUUCUCUAGUAUCCACAAGGUGGUGAGCAAUCUCUUCUUUUCUGACAUCUGGCUUUGGGCACAAGCGUUCUGAGUUGCACUUGAAAGUUACUUUAGGGUAGAAGGAAAUAUUUGUUUUUAAGAACUGCAUAUUUUUUAAUUCUAGAAAGGAUUCAGCACUAACUAAUGUCUCAUUUUGUGGUUCUACAGCUAGUAAAAGGAGCCAUGGUCAAGGAUAUUCCUAGUUUUUAUGGAGGCUUAUACAAAAUUUGAGGCUCCUUCUCCACCUUGCACCAAGCCCUCAAACUUUGUACAUACCAUUUUCUGAUUUAGUACCUGAAAGUUAUGUUUAUCUUUGUACAAAUGAAAAAUAUACGACUAGAAAAACAACUCCCCCUCAUUAGUAGUCUUUAUUACAAGUCAGUUACUCCUCAAGUAAGACUACUAGAAUUGGGUGAAGAAUUCAUAGCAAAUAUUUUCUAAUGAACAGCUUGAUUCUCCCUUAUUUAUUUGCUCUUCAGAAUUAUUCACCAAAUUUCAUUGCAUACUUUUUGCUCUACAGGUUGUGGGCAAGCCUGUUUCUGACUAUCAGCAUAUCAGGACUGGAACUCCAUCUUUUUCUCCAUGUACCCUGCCACAGUGGGCAGACUGCAAGGAUCCCAAAAAAUAGAUCUAAUUUAGAGUUUUGUAGUGGUCAUCACAAUAUUGUGGGAGGCAUCUAGACAUAGGUUGUGUGGGCAUAGACAACUAAGUCUGGAAGGAUUUAGCACCCACUUAGGGAUUGCGUUAAUAAAUAAAAGAAAUGCUGUAUUUUGAACUGAAGCUCAUCUCACUUUAUUAGAAGUGGAUAAAUUUAGUUAUGGUACAACAUUUCUCCUUAAAAGUGAUAUUCAAUGGCUUUUUUUAAACUCUAGUCCAUCCCCCCCCCCCAAAAAAAUUAAAAGUUGCGUGUGCCCCUGUAUUAGCAGAAUGAAGGCCAAGAUGACCUUCAUGGAGUCUUCUGUUCUCCCUUUCCUUGGGGGGUUUAAUUUGAGGUAGCGAACAUUGUUCUCUCAUUUGGUUAUGGUCAGAAAGGUGUUAGCAAAUAGGAAGAUCAAGCAGCAUUUCCUAAGGGUGGCCAGAAUGAAUUAGUUGCAUUGGAUAUUUGUUCUAUAGCGAGACCCCCAGAAUCAAGAAUGCCUGAUUGCGGAUUCUCUUUUGCUUUUACCUGUGCUUUGUGAUGUGCAUUUUCCAGAGGAGUGGAACUAUCUUGGUAGCUUAGAUACAGAGAUGCAGCAAGGACCCGAGCCAUUAAUGGCUUUUAAUAUAAGGACCAAUACCGUGAAAAUAUUUGUGAAAUUGUGUCCCAGUAUCUGGAAAAAUAAGAGAAGGUCUUUUAUUUUUAAUUUCCUUGAGAGAAAGGAUACUCCAGCUUGGCUUACUUAAUACAGCCCCAUGCAGGGCUCCUCUAAUUCAGAUAGUACAGGAAUGUUGUUACACCUGAUUUGUCUCAGUGUGGAGAAGGAUAUUAAAGGUAAUCAACUAUUUUAGAGGAGACAGAUGGGGCUGAAUUAAAGACAACGUGCCACAAUUGCUCAGCUGUAUUUAGGCUGUAGAAUGUUCUUUGUUGCAAAACAUUUCUGAUGGAAAAUUAAUUUUGUCUGCUCAGUCACUUCAGGAGACUAGCCUUUUUUGUCAGUAUUUCACUGUUAGAUUUCAGAGAGCUUGUAUUAGAAAAGUGAUGUCCUUUGAAAAAGUCAGAAGCCUGAAUCAGCACUGUGUGACUCAAGUUUUAUACUAGUGCAGCUCCGUGGAUUUCAGUGUCCAAGUGAACAUUUCUCCAUUUUUUAUGAAAGUUUAGAUAAUGCCAAGUCUACUUGUAAGACACAGGAUCAUAGAGCUUGCCACAAUGAGUCACCGCAUCCACACCCCAUUCAUAUCUUGUCUCAUAAUUCAUAGUA